rnacentral:rRNA from 1 species
AUGAAUAUUAAGAGCUGUGGUGCUGUGGUGAGUCUCAAAAAAUGGUCUGAAUCUGUGGGUGCCAAGGGUGUACUUAACAUUGCUUGGGUCAAUGUUAGCAACAUCCCUUUGGACAAAAGGUGUGAAAAAAAUAUUGCUUAUGUUGGAUCUUUGGUGGGUGUGACUUUGGACAUCGACAAAUCUACUAUCAACAGACCCGAGUCGGUCAGGAUUAAGUUGGGUUGUAGAGAUGCUAAGAACAUCCCAGCUAAGGCAGAGGGGGUGUUGGGAGAUCAUUUCUAUGAUUUCUUCUACUCGGUGGAUAAAAUUCUGGUUAAAAAUAAUCCUAAAGGAACUGUGACAAUUACUCAAGAUGCAGACAAGGGGGUGUCACCCAAAAGGGCUAGAAUCACAGAAAAUGUGCAAAAUGGUGACCAGGGCUCUUCUUCCACUCUGGGGAACUUUUCUGCUCCUCCCAAAUCUGUUGUGAGGGGAGUGCACAUGCCAGCUUUAACAGAAAAUUUGGAAGAGGGAAAUGAUGCUGGGAAAAAUCAAAAAGAAAAUGAGGAGAAUUUCUCUGAGGAGGAAAGUGAGGAGAUUGAUAAUGAGCUUCUUAUUGACACUAAUGCUGCUGAAAACAGAGAAAAACAAAUGGGGGGUGUCUCCAGAAACCAUAUCAUAUGA